CAACCAGCCAAAGCAGUUUCUUCCCAGCUUUUCGGGGACAAGUGGUGGUCACUGGCACAGAAGUGAAGCCUCUCAGCAGAAAUGAAGGGAGCAGCCAAGCACUCUCAGCAGGUGUAAUACUCUCUGAUCUGCUAGAAGAAAGUUAGCAAGAAGAAGUAUGGUCUUUCACUACAACCCUGAAGAUCUGCCAAUAGAUUGUGUGGGAAGAAAAAAUCAACCUCUAUCAGCCAUCAGCUGGUUCCCACGAUGGAGGCAGCUGACCUUAGAGAGAUGGGAACUGACAACUAAUGGAUGUUGC